rnacentral:rRNA from 1 species
UACGUAGGGGGCAAGCGUUGUCCGGAUUUAUUGGGCGUAAAGAGCGUGUAGGCGGCCAGGUAGGUCCGUUGUGAAAACUCGAGGCUCAACCUCGAGACGUCGGCGGAAACCCUCUGGCUAGAGUCCGGAAGAGGAGAGUGGAAUUCCUGGUGUAGCGGUGAAAUGCGCAGAUAUCAGGAAGAACACCCGUGGCGAAGGCGGCUCUCUGGGACGGUACUGACGCUGAGACGCGAAAGCGUGGGGAGCGAAACAGG